UUAGCUCUCCACGAGGCCAAAGUCAUUAAAAAUUCAAAAGUCAUAAAAGGAAGUUACAAAAGCAAAUCCUCUUUUGCAAGCCAGAACUCACUGCUCAGGAUGAGUUUUGAUCCACGUGAGAAGGAAUAGG
rfam:Neotoma lepida isolate 417 scaffold_3082, whole genome shotgun sequence.